GAUGUUCCAUGGGAGGACAUUCUUUAAGAAGGUGGCAGCCCUGGAAAAGUCCUGUAGAUGAGAGUCUGGAAUGGAGGUGCAAGAACGGGACAGUAACAGUCGUUGGCGGAGCAAAGAAAUUGGGCUGGAUCAGCAUUGAGAGAUUUAACCCGUUGAUUUUAUGUUUCUUACUUGAAACACAUUACUUAAGCCUUUAUUUCGUCGAAUUAUUUCAGCCUGGAAAAGAUGCAACACAUUUUUUAUAUCACCACCAGUAUUAUAGACGGAAACAAAGUUUCUG